AUCCUUUUGUAGUUCAUGAACAUGAUUGGGUGUUAACGCCCAUGUGUGAAAUUUGCCUCCCUCAAACCUUUUCACCAUGUUGGGCACAUUCCCCUUGUGACA